GGAGAUUUAGCUUAGUGGUUCUAGCACCUGCCUGAUAAGCAUGAGGUUGUGAGUUCAAUCCCUG
rnacentral:tRNA from 1 species